rnacentral:rRNA from 1 species
UAGUAGCGGCGAGCGAACCGGAAGAGCCCAGCUUGAAAAUCGUGAGGCUUGGCUUUACGAAUUGUAGUCUGGAGAAGCGUCCUCUGCAGCGGACCGGGCCCAAGUUCCCUGGAACGGGACGUCGGAGAGGGUGAGAGCCCCGUCGAGCUCGGACCCUGCUGCUCCACGAGGCGCUGUCGGCGAGUCGGGCUGUUUGGGAAUGCAGCCCUAAGUGGGUGGUAAAUUCCAUCCAAGGCUAAAUACUGGCAGGAGACCGAUAGCAAACAAGUACCGCGAGGGAAAGAUGAAAAGGACUUUGAAAAGAGAGUUAAAGAGUGCUUGAAAUUGCUGGGAGGGAAGCGAAUGGAGGCUGCGGGUGUGCCCCGGUUGGAUGCGGAACGGCGCAAGCUGGUCCGCCGCUCAACGCGGGGUGCUGGUCAGCGUGGGCUAUCCCGGCGGGACAAGAGCGAGCUUAUGUUGCUGGCCUAUGCCGUUGGGGUGGCCGAGGAAGGAAGCGCGCGCCUUCGGGCGGCCCUCGGGACCUGCGCGCUCGGGACGCUGGCGUAUUGAGCUUUCCAUCCGGCCCGUCUUGAAACACGGACCAAGGAGUCUAACAUGUAUGCGAGCCGGUGGGUGGCAAACCCAUGGAGGCGCAAGUAACCUGACAGGUGGGAUCCGCAAGGAGCACCAUCGACCGACCAUGAUCUUCUGUGAAAGGUUUGAGUGUGAGCAUACCUGCUGGGACCCGAAAGAUGGUGAACUAUGCCUGAGCAGGGCGAAGCCAGAGGAAACUCUGGUGGAGGCUCGUAGCGAUACUGACGUGCAAAUCGUUCGUCAGACUUGGGUAUAGGGGCGAAAGACUAAUCGAACCAUCUAGUAGCUGGUUCCCUCCGAAGUUUCCCUCAGGAUAGCUGGAGCUCAUGUAAGAGUUUUAUCAGGUAAAGCGAAUGAUUAGAGGCAUCGGGGGUGAAACACCCUCGACCUAUUCUCAAACUUUAAAUGGGUAAGCCGCCGGGG